rnacentral:rRNA from 1 species
ACCUUCCGUACACUCAGGGAUAGCCUUUCGAAAGAAAGAUUAAUACCUGAUGGUAUGAUGAGAUUGCAUGAUAGCAUCAUUAAAGAUUUAUCGGUGUACGAUGGGGAUGCGUUCCAUUAGGUAGUAGGCGGGGUAACGGCCCACCUAGCCAACGAUGGAUAGGGGUUCUGAGAGGAAGGUCCCCCACAUUGGAACUGAGACACGGUCCAAACUCCUACGGGAGGCAGCAGUGAGGAAUAUUGGUCAAUGGACGAGAGUCUGAACCAGCCAAGUAGCGUGAAGGAUGAAGGUCCUACGGAUUGUAAACUUCUUUUAUAAGGGAAUAAACCCUCCCACGUGUGGGAGCUUGUAUGUACCUUAUGAAUAAGCAUCGGCUAACUCCGUGCCAGCAGCCGCGGUAAUACGGAGGAUGCGAGCGUUAUCCUGAUUUAUUGGGUUUAAAGGGAGCGCAGACGGGUCGUUAAGUCAGCUGUGAAAGUUUGGGGCUCAACCUUAAAAUUGCAGUUGAUACUGGCGUCCUUGAGUGCGGUUGAGGUGUGCGGAAUUCGUGGUGUAGCGGUGAAAUGCUUAGAUAUCACGAAGAACUCCGAUUGCGAAGGCAGCACACUAAUCCGUAACUGACGU